rnacentral:rRNA from 1 species
AAGCGUGGGGAGCGAACAGGAUUAGAUACCCUGGUAGUCCACGCGGUAAACGAUGAAUGCUAGGUGUAGGGGGUAUCGACCCCUCCUGUGCCGGAGUAAACACAAUAAGCAUUCCGCCUGGGGAGUACGGCCGCAAGGUUGAAACUCAAAGGAAUUGACGGGGGCCCGCACAAGCAGCGGAGCAUGUGGUUUAAUUCGACGCAACGCGAAGAACCUUACCAGGUCUUGACAUCCAAUUAAAGCUAUAGAGAUAUAGUGUGUCUUCGGACGAAUUGAGACAGGUGGUGCAUGGUUGUCGUCAGCUCGUGUCGUGAGAUGUUGGGUUAAGUCCCGCAACGAGCGCAACCCUUAUUGUCAGUUACUAACGGGUAAAGCCGAGGACUCUGACGAGACUGCCGGGGACAACUCGGAGGAAGGUGGGGACGACGUCAAAUCAUCAUGCCCCUUAUGACCUGGGCUACACACGUGCUACAAUGGUGGUAACAAAGAGGAGCGAACCUGUAAGGGCAAGCGGAUCUCAAAAAAGCCAUCUCAGUUCGGAUUGUGGGCUGCAACCCGCCCACAUGAAGUUGGAGUUGCUAGUAAUCGCGAAUCAGAAUGUCGCGGUGAAUACGUUCCCGGGCCUUGUACACACCGCCCGUCACACCAUGGGAGUCGGGAGCACCCAAAGCCGUUGAGCGAACCGCAAGGGAGCAGGCGUCUAAGGUGAGACCGAUGACUGGGGUG